UUCUUUUGCAAAAGCUGUGAACGUUCGGACUGAGAGAAAGAGUCGAGGCAUCCUAGAGAAUGAGGGUUGCUCAGUGUCAAGGCGUCAACAUAGCUGAGGAUAUGGGGAAGUAAAAAUAGAACAAAUUUGCCUGCUUUCAUGUAGCCUUUGGGCUCCCUGUGCUUGGUGGUGAGGGGGCGGGGCGACGGAGGAUGUUGGCAGGCAGGGUAUCAGAAAACAUCGAAACUGGAAGUAUCUUUGAUCCCUGGUACACAGCAAGCAGCUAAGAACCAGAAAUCUGGGAGACCAUUGCCUUGGCACGUGGAAUCCAGGGCCUAGCGAAAUGAAGGUGGAUAUCACUGGAUAGCACUUAAACUCCAACAGUAUGCUGCUAGGUUUUAUCUUCACAUACCGUUGGCUACACACUGGAAACAGCGUCAAGAUUGUCAAUCAGGAGUGCAAGAAGAACCGCAAAGAGAAUUUAAGAGAAAAAGCAGAGAUUAAACCUAAGUGAAGAGAUGUGCAGACAGCCCUUCCUUGGCUUCCUUGGUGGCUCAGACGGUAAAGAAUGCUUGCA